rnacentral:rRNA from 1 species
GAAUAUUGGACAAUGGGGGGAACCCUGAUCCAGCCAUGCCGCGUGUGUGAAGAAGGCCUUUUGGUUGUAAAGCACUUUAAGCGAGGAGGAGGCUACUCUAGUUAAUACCUAGAGAUAGUGGACGUUACUCGCAGACUAAGCACCGGCUAACUCUGUGCCAGCAGCCGCGGUAAUACAGAGGGUGCAAGCGUUAAUCGGAUUUACUGGGCGUAAAGCGCGCGUAGGUGGCCAAUUAAGUCAAAUGUGAAAUCCCCGAGCUUAACUUGGGAAUUGCAUUCGAUACUGGUUGGCUAGAGUAUGGGAGAGGAUGGUAGAAUUCCAGGUGUAGCGUUGAAAUGCGUAAACAUCUAGAGAAAUACCGAUGGCUAAGGCAGCCAUCUGGCCUAAUACUGACACUGAGGUGCGAAAGAAUGGGGAGCAAACA